AUUGAACGCUGGCGGAAUGCUUUACACAUGCAAGUCGAACGGCAGCACGGACUUCGGUCUGGUGGCGAGUGGCGAACGGGUGAGUAAUAUAUCGGAACGUGCCCAGUCGUGGGGGAUAACGUAGUGAAAAUUACGCUAAUACCGCAUACGAUCUACGGAUGAAAGCGGGGGAUCGCAAGACCUCGCGCGAUUGGAGCGGCCGAUAUCAGAUUAGGUAGUUGGUGAGGUAAAGGCUCACCAAGCCAACGAUCUGUAGCUGGUCUGAGAGGACGACCAGCCACACUGGAACUGAGACACGGUCCAGACUCCUACGGGAGGCAGCAGUGGGGAAUUUUGGACAAUGGACGCAAGUCUGAUCCAGCCAUUCCGCGUGCAGGACGAAGGCCUUCGGGUUGUAAACUGCUUUUGUACAGAACGAAAAGGUCUCUAUUAAUACUGGGGGCUCAUGACGGUACUGUAAGAAUAAGCACCGGCUAACUACGU
rnacentral:rRNA from 1 species